UAUUAAACUUCCAAAAGGUACCUUUGGUUUUUGCUUCUUCUUGGAUCCGCUUGCUGCAUUCAUGUAAUAGACAAGUCAGUCGUAUGCGAUGAAUACUACCAGUAAUGCAAUUUUACAAGGAAAACAGAGAGCAAAAGUUACUCUUACAGAAUAAUAUAUUACGCACCACUAAAACACACUGAAGUGAGUUUUCCUCCAAACCCUGGGACACUGGUGAAAAAUCCUAGACUAGCUUUAUGCAUGAAGGUUCUACAAGAGUAACUGACAGCACCUGCCCCCCCAUGAUGUUCCGAACAGUAGGAAAGGAAAGUAUCGCAAAGGAUCAGGUUUCCCAUGAAAAUCCCGCGUACCGAACAGGGCCUAAUUAAAGUAUUCUAAACAAGACCC
rnacentral:lncRNA from 1 species